rnacentral:rRNA from 1 species
GAUGAACGCUGGCGGCGUGCCUAAUACAUGCAAGUCGAGCGAACAGACGAGGAGCUUGCUCCUCUGACGUUAGCGGCGGACGGGUGAGUAACACGUGGAUAACCUACCUAUAAGACUGGGAUAACUUCGGGAAACCGGAGCUAAUACCGGAUAACAUGUUGAACCGCAUGGUUCAACAGUGAAAGACGGUCUUGCUGUCACUUAUAGAUGGAUCCGCGCCGCAUUAGCUAGUUGGUAAGGUAACGGCUUACCAAGGCAACGAUGCGUAGCCGACCUGAGAGGGUGAUCGGCCACACUGGAACUGAGACACGGUCCAGACUCCUACGGGAGGCAGCAGUAGGGAAUCUUCCGCAAUGGGCGAAAGCCUGACGGAGCAACGCCGCGUGAGUGAAGAAGGUCUUCGGAUCGUAAAACUCUGUUAUUAGGGAAGAACAAAUGUGUAAGUAACUAUGCACGUCUUGACGGUACCUAAUCAGAAAGCCACGGCUAACUACGUGCCAGCAGCCGCGGUAAUACGUAGGUGGCAAGCGUUAUCCGGAAUUAUUGGGCGUAAAGCGCGCGUAGGCGGUUUUUUAAGUCUGAUGUGAAAGCCCACGGCUCAACCGUGGAGGGUCAUUGGAAACUGGAAAACUUGAGUGCAGAAGAGGAAAGUGGAGUUCCAUGUGUAGCGGUGAAAUGCGCAGAGAUAUGGAGGAACACCAGUGGCGAAGGCGACUUUCUGGUCUGUAACUGACGCUGAUGUGCGAAAGCGUGGGGAUCAAACAGG